UACUCCUACGGGAGGCAGCAGUGGGGAAUAUUGCGCAAUGGGGGAAACCCUGACGCAGCAACGCCGUGUGAAUGAAGAAGGCCUUAGGGUUGUAAAGUUCUGUUUUCUGGGACGAUAAUGACGGUACCAGAGGAGGAAGCCACGGCUAACUACGUGCCAGCAGCCGCGGUAAUA
rnacentral:rRNA from 1 species